rnacentral:rRNA from 1 species
UACGAAGGGGGCAAGCGUUGUUCGGAAUUACUGGGCGUAAAGGGCGCGUAGGCGGCUCUAGAAGUCAGACGUGAAAGCCCCGGGCUUAACCUGGGAACAGCGUUUGAUACUCCAGAGCUUGAGUUCGGGAGAGGAGAGUGGAAUUCCCAGUGUAGAGGUGAAAUUCGUAGAUAUUGGGAAGAACACCAGUGGCGAAGGCGGCUCUCUGGACCGAUACUGACGCUGAGGCGCGAAAGCGUGGGGAGCAAACAGG